AAACCGGAGGAAGUGGGGAUGACGUCAAGUCCUCAUGGCCCUUAUGGUAGGGCUUCACACGUCAUACAAUGGUCGGUACAGAGGGUUGCCAAACCGCGAGGUGGAGCUAAUCUCUUAAAGCCGAUCGUAGUCCGGAUCGUAGUCUGCAACUCGACUACGUGAAGUCGGAAUCGCUAGUAAUCGCAGAUCAGCAUGCUGCGGUGAAUACGUUCCCGGGCCUU
rnacentral:rRNA from 1 species